rnacentral:lncRNA from 9 species
ACUCUUCCUUCAAGCGCUGCAUUUUUCUUUUCUUUUUCUGUUAAUCAGGGAGGUCAUUCCAAGCGGCCUUGCCUCUCCCAGAACUGAUAGGUCUUACCGUGGCCCUAGGCCAAGGCCAGUUUCCCUGGCAAAUCGCUAGAGAAGACAUCUGUUUGCCGAAGCCUCUUUUAAAAGUCCUUUGAGUGCACGGCCGGUGACACCCGAGGGGCAGCACCCCCACCCUUCCGGAUCAGGAGGGUGGGCGGCCGGGCGCAGGGGGUCACAAUGGCCCGCGUGGCUCCACUGGGCGGCGGCUGCCAGGUGCGGAUGGGGCUGCGCAUCCCGCCGGCCCGGGAACUUUCACUGGGCGGCCGCGGCGCGCAGACAAUGGGCCGGGGCAGCGCCUUAUCGCGGCGCGCAGGCCUUCCCCGAGCGCGGCGGGCGGCGGCGGCGCUUCCUCGGGCCCCGGACCGCCCGCCCCGGCCGCCCGCCGGCCCCCGGCCGCCCCCUGCCGCCGCCGCCCGCCGCUUCCUCUCGCGCUUCCUCCUCGCGACCCCGCGGCCCCCGGGCCAGGCGCGGCCGGCGGAAAAGCUUGGUGGGGUGGCCGCGGCGGCGACACGCGCGGCCGGACCCGGGAAAACAAAGGGGGGAUGUGUGAGGCCGAGAGUCCGGAAACGGGGCGCCGGUGGGGGCCGGCCGGGCGCAGCUCCCCCUCUAGGAGCCUAUUGUUUGCCGAGGGCCCGGCCACACGCGCUUAACAAGAAAUUAACACAUCCUGCCGCCGCUUAUCAACCCAUCGACAGCCAAACAAACAGCAAGGACAUUUCUCCAGCCUAUGCUGUUGCUGAACUGGUUGUCUGGAAAAACUGUGACAAAGAAGAUUUCAGAUUAGAGGGCUACCCAUUGGUCCAAGGACUGCCCUGUCUACUUAUGGUCCCUGUUGCCAAGGUCUUGCCCAGCUGGACUUAAAUGCAACCACUGUGAGUAUCUGAAACUCUGCACAUUUCUGUCUCUAGUUUCCCUGUUGAUCUAUUAGUUCUCCUAAAAUGUCUCUGAGGUCACACCAACCUCCUGUCAGGCAUAUACACACACCUCUAUACCAGCUACUUUCAAGAAAAGGAUAAGUCCUGGAGAAUGUUUUAAUUUUCCCAGUAGACUCAUCUUUUCAGUAAUUUUACUUACAGGUGGAGUAAGGGAACCCUACUACAGAGUUUUGCAAAAGAGUAAACAUCUGACAGCUUCAGUAAUUCAGCUCUCUCUGUAACAGUAACAUGAGUGACUCAAGCAGCCAAAUUCUAAAAAGAAAUAUAUUUGACUCUGUUCUCCUAAAUCCAUCUGUUCAAACUGGCUCUAAUACAGCUAGCUGCAUGUAGUUUUAAACUGGUGCACAUUAGGACAUGCAGCUUUAUGGCUAGAAAUAG